rnacentral:lncRNA from 1 species
AAAGAUGAUUUUUUUGGGGACUUUUUGUUUUGAUGAGAUGUUGGGUUGUGAGGGAUUUUUUUUCUUUUUAAGAUUAAAGGUGGCAUUUUAGUAUGGAUGAUGCACAAGGAGCGGGGCAAUUGCUUAUUUUUAGGCUGAUUUUGGGUGCUCAAUUUGUUGAUGUUUGGAAGGGUGUAUUUGUUUUUGGGGUGUAUUAGUUUGCUAUUCAAUAUGGGGAUUCUUUCGGGGAUUUUUUUUUUUUUUGGAGAAAAGGUAGCAUGCUACCACUUCAUUCAAUAAGGAUAUGAACUGUGCUAGAAUCUGAGUCAACUGGG